rnacentral:rRNA from 1 species
UACGUAGGGGGCGAGCGUUGUCCGGAGUUACUGGGCGUAAAGCGCACGCAGGCGGUCUGCUAAGUUUGGAGUGACAGUUGGUGGCUCAACCACCAAAGUGCUUUGAAAACUGGCCGACUUGAGGGCUUCAGAGGGACACGGAAUUCCGGGUGGAGUGGUGAAAUGCGUAGAGAUCCGGAGGAACACCGAAGGCGAAGGCAGUGUCCUGGGGAGUACCUGACGCUCAGGUGCGAAAGCCAGGGGAGCGAACGGG